rnacentral:lncRNA from 1 species
AUAUAGAUCUACGUUUAUCUUUUGUCGUUCUUGAGCUUCCUUCAAUUGUGUCUUCAUUAUUGCAUGUAACUCUGACAACCGAUUUGUCAUAUCUUCUGCUGCAGGAUUAUCAACUUUUGAAAAAUCAAAAGUAUCAAGUCUUGGAUGAUAGCCAUAAUUGGCAAAGAAAGGUGUUUGUUGCGUGGAAGAAUGUACCAUAUUAUUAUAAGCAAACUCUGCCAAUGGCAGAAGGGUUGUCCA